UACGUAGGGUGCAAGCGUUAAUCGGAAUUACUGGGCGUAAAGCGUGCGCAGGCGGUUUUGUAAGACAGGCGUGAAAUCCCCGGGCUUAACCUGGGAAUGGCGCUUGUGACUGCAAAGCUGGAGUGCGGCAGAGGGGGAUGGAAUUCCGCGUGUAGCAGUGAAAUGCGUAGAUAUGCGGAGGAACACCGAUGGCGAAGGCAAUCCCCUGGGCCUGCACUGACGCUCAUGUACGAAAGCGUGGGGAGCAAACAGG
rnacentral:rRNA from 1 species